rnacentral:tRNA from 1 species
AAACAAUAGCAUCAUAAAAUGCAUGCCGGUUUCGGCCCGGCAAGAGCGGCUCCCGCAUUGUUUU